rnacentral:lncRNA from 1 species
AUGAAUUGGAUUAUGAUCCAAAAUGUACCACUACUACUACAAACACAACUACAACUACAAAUACAAAUAAAAAUACAAAUAAAAAAUACAACUACAAAUACAGUUACAAAUUUGUUUGAUUCAAAUGAAAAUGUAUCGAUUGAUAGUGUUAUGUCAUCGCAUGGACAUAUUUCUAUCUCUACCAAUUCUAAUGAAUAUAAUGACUUCAACGAAAUAGAGAGUAAUUUACAUAUGGAUAACAUACACAAUGGAUUUAAUAGUAGUAAAAAAAAUUAUAUUAAUAAUAUAAUACCACCAAUUAAUAAUAAAAAGAUUACAAAUCCUAAUUUUAUACCUUUAGGAAAAAAUAAAAAUUUAUUUACUGAUCCAUUAUUAAAUACAAAAAACAUAUAUGAUCCUACAAAAGUUCUAAAUGUUGAAAAUGGAAUUGAUACAAAUACGAAUAUAAUAAAUAAUAUAAAUAAUAAUAAUGAAAACAUAAAUCCUGAUAUACAUAUCAAUAUAAAUAACAACUUUCCCAAUAUAAAGAAUAACUUUCCCAAUAUAAAUAACAGCUAUGAAUGCCCAACAGUUACCAUUAACUCAGCCAAUGGGCAUUGACCCCGUGUUUAUGCAAGAAUGGUCACAAAUGCUCAUGAAUUAUUCGGAAAAUCUUUUAUCCCACGCACCUGCUCCCGAUACUAACCCUCCUCCUCUACCAUCAGAAAAUAUAAACAAUGAUGAUGAACAAAAUGUCACGUAAAAAAAAAAAAAAAAAAAAAAAAAAAAAAAAAAAAAAAAAAAAAAAGCUAAGGCGAUCUGGCUACAACAAGAUAUCGCGAGAUUAUAUAUAAAUAUAUAUACACACAUAGACUAAUUAAAUAAUUCAUGGUUCCUUUAUUUACAUAGGAAAAAAAAAAAAAAACAUACACACAUACAUACAUACAUACAUACAUACAUACAUAUACAUACGUACGAAAACAUCAAUGACUAUUUUUACGCUUUCGCUUUUUUUCUUUCUGUUAAAUGCUCUAAUAGCUUAAUUUUGAUUUUUUAGUACAUAUAUACAACAUUUUUGAAAUAUUCAUAUAUAUAUAUAUAUAUAUAUAUAUAUAUAGCGUUACUGCUAUUGCCACUAUACCAACAAAACAUUACUACCAUUAUUAGCAUUGUAUAGUAUUCAUGUUAGUAAUGUAUAAUACAAAAUUUUGUUUAGUUAUAGUUAACACACGACAAUGGAGAUCCCUAUCAUUUUAACGGUUUUAGUAACAUGUUAAUAAUUUGUUUUGAAACUUUUUUUUUUUAUUUCAUUUACUAAAUUUAUGUUUUUAUAUAUAGUAGGAAAUUUAGUAUAUAACCAACAGUAUAAAUCUACAAUUUCGUAAUAAACUUCCAACAUUUUAAUAUAGUUAUCCA